UACAGAGGUCUCAAGCGUUGUUCGGAUUCAUUGGGCGUAAAGGGUGCGUAGGUGGCGCCGUAAGUCAGGUGUGAAAUUUCGGAGCUUAACUCCGAACUGCAUUUGAUACUGCGGUGCUUGAGGACUGGAGAGGAGACUGGAAUUCACGGUGUAGCAGUGAAAUGCGUAGAUAUCGUGAGGAAGACCAGUGGCGAAGGCGGGUCUCGUGGACAGUUCCUGACACUGAGGCACGAAGGCCAGGGAGCAAACGGG
rnacentral:rRNA from 1 species